rnacentral:rRNA from 1 species
AAGCCAGACUCCUACGGGAGGCAGCAGUGGGGAAUAUUGCACAAUGGGGGAAACCCUGAUGCAGCAACGCCGCGUGAGUGAAGAAGUAUUUCGGUAUGUAAAGCUCUAUCAGCAGGGAAGAAGAUGACGGUACCUGAUUAAGAAGCCCCGGCUAACUACGUGCCAGCAGCCGCGGUAAUACGUAGGGGGCAAGCGUUAUCCGGAUUUACUGGGUGUAAAGGGAGCGCAGACGGCAGUGCAAGUCUGGAGUGAAAGCCCGGGGCCCAACCCCGGAACUGCUCUGGAAACUGUGCGGCUAGAGUACUGGAGGGGCAGGCGGAAUUCCUAGUGUAGCGGUGAAAUGCGUAGAUAUUAGGAGGAACACCAGUGGCGAAGGCGGCCUGCUGGACCGCGACUGACGUUGAGGCUUGAAAGCGUGGGGAGCGAACAGGAUUAGAUACCCCAGUACA